GCUGAGCAGGUGGAGGGGAGAGAGACUGCAUGCGGUCCCGGAUCCCAGUCUUUCGUGGAGUGAGAGAUUCCAGGCAGGGAAGUAACGUGCCUGACAUCCACGGAACCAGUUCCUCCCAGAGGUGGCACUGCUGACUCUCUGUUCACAGCCACUUACACUACCAUCCCUGCAGAAAUGGGGUGCUACAGAGAAUGUCCUUAGCAAACUUUCAGAGACAAGGCUAUUUUAGAGCGCAAGAGCAAAAACCCAUUCAACCUGGCAAAAAUCACAGAGUCUUAGAAAGAAUCAGGAUCUUACAGAGCUCCAGUCAGGCCUCAUUGGGAACUGGAACCAGCAAUUGGAAAAGCAGCAGGAACCUAGACAGUUAUUGUCCCUCGUGUGGGUGUGUGUAUGUGUCUCCAGGCUACUUUCUCUCUGCUUCCCUUUGCACACGAAGCUGCUGGAGCAGGAACCUGGUCAGCCCUUUCGGUCAGGUGUCCACCCCUUCUCCCUCCAGGAACGAGCAGGGAGCGGAGCCAGUUGUAGAAACAUGGGAAGAAAGUUUGAGGACGGUGGCUAACUGCCGCUGGGGACCUACGUCAGAGCUUGAACUGACCUCCCCUCAAGGGUUCUCAUAUGGGCACAGAACCUAGAGCUCAUUCAGUGCAACGCCCUCAUGUUCCUGGGUGUCUGUCACCGGUUCUGUGUCUACUGAUGCGCAGGCAUAAAUCUCCAAUUUUUCAACAACUUAUUUACAG
rnacentral:lncRNA from 1 species